CGUCACUAUACUAACCACUAACCACUGACAAUAAAAGCGCGACGACACGUAACAACAUCGUUGUGACAGAACGUUCUAACUAUUUAUAUUCAUCUAUAAUUUAAAAAAAAAAUCCUCAUUAAUACAAACGUAUCACAUACAGGUGAAUGCACAGAUUAAAUACACACAGCAUGCAAGGUACACACACUUCUCAGCAUUCUGUCAACAGUGAACACUCUUUUAUUUCAUAAUGUGAUCACUGAAGUUCAUUAAUUAAUUAAUUAUUAUGAAAAUCUUAACGUUAAUAUCGUCUAUCUUUCAACCUUACGUUACAACAUGACACAUUGAUCAACAAAUUGACGUUUUCUGGCACGUUGAUGUUUCAUCCCAUUUUUAGCCGGUUGAAAAGACUUUUAAAUGAGGUCUUAGACGUUCAGACCUCAUUUCAACCCGAUUUCAACCAUAUUUCAACGUUGAAAUUACGUCUUGUGCUCACUGGGAAGUGUUAUUUGCCUGACAUGAUUAACAUUCUCUUUCCUUACAUCUUGUUGUCUUCCUCAUCUUUGUAAUUUUAAUAUUUUACCAAUGAAAGUGUUUCUAAAUGUUUUAUUUUGGUUUGUUUUACGGAGGCUCUGGAUUAAGGACGCCAGCCGUUUGCUGCGGUCAAUUGAAAGUGUUCCAUAGCGUAUUGUUGCAGUUAGUUUACCUUGUUCCUAAUAAUUUAAUGAUUGAUUUUUUUAUUAUUGUAUGGGACAUAUUUUAUGUUUUGAUCUUGGUUACAAAUGCCAAAUAUUUUUGUCUUAAAGGCAUCUAAUAAACUCCAACCACUAUGACCGAGCUGAGUUUGGUGGUCUUUCUUUAAUUUGUGGGGAAUUGAAUGCAAAAGUAUACGGUUAUAAGUAAACGGUAACAUUGUAGCGGCUCCCAGACUGUGGAACGCUUUGUCGUUUUCUGUGCGGUCUGAGACGAGCCUUUCCACUUUUAAAACUCGCCUUAAGACUCACUUGUUCACAUUGGCCUUUGGCCGAGUUAAGUCACCUGCAUCGUUCUCUUAUGUGUUUGCCUUUUACUGUUCAUUUUAAUUUUUUUUAUUUUUUGUUUGUUUUACGUUUUCUUCGUAUUGUUUUAUUGAUGCUGAUUGUUUUUUAUCCUGUAAAGCACUUUGGCUGGCCACUGGCCUUUAAAAGUGCUGUAUAAAUAAAAUUGACAUUGACAUUCUGGUAUUUAUAACACAAAAACAGUAAUCGUAUGGUAACAAACUGUAAUCCAAUAUACAACAACAUACCGUAAAUUACGGUAGGGCACGGUAAAUAAAACAGUAAAUUACUAGUGUCAACUGCCAGUAAAUUGCAGUUAAUUCACAGUCAAAUUCGUUCAAGUUUAUGGUAACAUACAGUAAUCCAUUUUACGGUA
ensembl:lncRNA